AGGACACAGAGCAAGAGAUGUGGAGUUGAAUUUUCCUUGAGCUUGAACAUGCAUAGGAGCGGAAGUUCAGUCCCACCUUGCCUGUGAACGGUUUGCACUCUGCUGGAUGAAAGGCAGGACAAAUAGGAGAAAUACACCUUCUUCCCUUGUGCCUGGACCUAAAGUGGAACAUAAAAUUGCCUACAAAAGGCCCGUCCUAAACUGCUCACAAAUAAUACCCCUCUAGAGACUGCCAGAGUCAGCGAUAUCGCAGAAUAACCAUAUUUUAGAGACACUCAGAUUCCCAGAGAGAUUUACUGGGUCAUUAAGGGAAGGUCUUCCUGCCAAUGGGAUGUCUAAGCAGAGAUCUUCAGCUGAGUGAAUACACCGACCAUGAAUAUGCCCAGGCAAGAGAGAAAUGCAGUUACUGAGAUGCUGACAUGCGGCAGUGACGUAAGGGGGCCCAGGGCAAGAGCUGCUUUCUGGCUGCUGUGAGAAGAAACCCAAGGAGGAAGGAUGGGAGCGGAUGAGUAGAUGAGAAGUAAAGAUACAGACAAGCGACAAUGAUGACAGGUGCAGCACCGACUUUGUACUCAGCACAUGCUAGGGUCUAGGCUUCUUACAGUACUCUGUGUAUUUUAAUUGUGUAUCUCCACAGCAUCGAUGCUAACAUUGUAACUAUUUCACAGCUGAAGAAACCAAGGUAUAGAAAGUUUAAAUCAUGGACCCAAGAUCACAUUGGAAAUCAGCGAGUUGGCUCAGGGUGGUGGCCUUGGAGGUGGCUGGGUGCAGGAUACAGCCUGCAUGAGGGGACAACAGGGCGUGCCGGUAGGGUAUUGUCAGUAGU